UUUUUUUAGGAUAAUCGGAUAGAUACUACAUAUACUAAACAGAAAUAGACAUAACAUAACCGAGUUCAAAGUGUCAUGAUCACUAGAGAUUACAAAUGGAUUGCCAAAACUAACUUAUUACAAAUUGACAUAGAUUGGCUCCCAUGAUUGGAAACGCGUAGCUUGGAGGAGAUAACAAAAUAUUUACAUGGUCAGAUGCUAGCUUGGCACAAAAAUCCUGUCACCCCAUUCGUUUGCCGGACUCCCCAACUUCCUCAACAACAAUCUGCAAAACCAAAUAAUGGAGUGAUGAAAAAAAUAUCAGUGAGUCAACCUCUAUUUCCAGAGUUUUCCCCAGCAGGUUCCUUUGUUCUCACAACAUAUCGACAUCGUCACUAUCCCUGGUGACUUUCAACCUUCGGAGACUCCACAUUUAACUUCUUCACCGUUCCUUCUUCCCUUGUAGUCAUCAGUUUCUCUCUCCUCCCAGAUGGAUCAUUUGUUGGAAGAAGUCAAAACAGGUUUGCUACUAUUUUUAUUUCUUCUAAUAGAUGACCCAACUGUUGCAACAGAUGAUUCAUCUGUUGGAAGGAAUCACAAUAACUUUGUUACUGUUUUGAUUUCUUGCAAUAGAUGAUCCAUCUAUUGGUCAUUUAUUGAAAAAUAUUUGUGUACUGUGUUGUAAUUUUUAAAUUCACUGCUACAUUUUUUAACAAUGCGCAAAUCAAUUGUACUCUUUUUUGUUCUCAUCUUUUUUGUAGACAAAAUGGCUCCCAAAAAAGAAAGUCAAUCAACUUUUGAUAAACCAAGUAAAUAGCUAAAGUACAAACAACAAUAGAAGAACUUGUUGAAAAAGGUCGUUCACAAACAGAUAAGUAUUAUCAUAUGUAGAUGUACAAAAAAGAAUGAAGUAGUGAAAAAAGAUAAUGAAGAAGAAUCAAUUGGAAUAUCUAAAGAAGAUGUAGAAAAGAAAAGAGAGGGGAGAUGAGGAAGAAGUUAUAGAGGAGGAAGAUGAACAUAAGAAUAACAAAGAAGAUGAAGUAAAUAGUGAGGAUAAAGAUGAUGAAAAAAGUGAUAAAGGGAGAUGAGGAGGAAGGUGAGGAAGAUGAUGAAAAGAAAACUGAGGAAGGAGAAAAUGUUGAAGAGAAAAAUAGAAGAGAUCGUGACUUAUUAGUUUCGACGAUCAAUUGUGAACAUAAAUCGAAAGCCCAACAUAAUGUUAUCAAAACUUUUGGUAUUGACAAGUUUCAAGUAGAGAUGCCUACGGAUAAACUUACAAAUUUGACUGGUGAUUUUGUUUUUAAAUUAUUCACGGGAAUCAAAUUUGAUAGUUUAGGAAGACAUUGAGGGAUGAAAAUUAGAGGAUUACUUAAGUCAAUCUAUUUGGUACACUUUGUUGAUCUGUCGGAGUAUAACGAUGUAUGAUUUCAAAUGAAUAUGGCAUAUGAUAUUCUCAAAGGUAGGAUCAAGUAUAAAGGUGAUGAUGAUGAAACUUAGAAGGACGAGGACAAGAAUAUUAAUGAGAUUUGGAUAAAUUAUUGUGGCGUACCAGUUUGUUUUGGCAUGAAAGAAUUUGCCAUAGUGAUUGUAAUGAGAUGUCAUCCUCCUUUUGAACCUCUUUCCACAGUUGCACCCUCGAAAAAGCCAAAGAAAAGCAAGACAUCAAAAUCAGCCAAGACAGGAAAAAAGGCAAGACACCAACCAAGAAAACCACCAAGUCUGCCACUAAAACUAACAAAGGAAAAGACAAAAUAAAUAAGUUGUUGGACAUUGUUGGAUCAAGAUACAAAGCCAAGCAGUUGGUACUUGAUCUCAAGAACAAAAGCUUUUGAAGAAGUAUAAGGAGCCAUUGUGCUUAUUUGGUUUGUCCAUUUUAACUAAUGGGCAGAGACACUAACAAAGUAAUAGAACCUAAAUUCUUUGUGUUUGCUUAGAAUUUAGAGGUAUUCAACAAUUAUUCGUGAGGAUAUGAAAGCUAUUUAUUGACUAUCUAAUAUUUGUUGACAAAGUUAUCACCAAAGGCGAUCAAAUUAUAUGGUUUUCAUUGGGAUUUCAUAGUAAACUUCACCCUUGGUUCUUUAGUGUUUCAUUUAUAUAUGUUAUUGAAUAAUUAUUUUAAUUUUUUAUAUUAUGUGUAUAUUAUGGUUUGGGUUUGCUAUUUUCUAGCCUAUAAUGUUGAUGGGUCAGCCCGACCUGACCCGUCAAACUCCAAAGCCUGUGUGGGAUAUUUUGGAUGGGCUGGACCGGCCCGUAUUGACACUCUACAAGAAUGUAAGGAAAAAUAUGAGAACUUGAUUAGGUCUCAUGAUAUUCUGGCUGUUGCUGUUAAAGAAUUGACAUCUGAGAGAGGUGUCAUUCUGUAAAGGGAGAUUACAGAGCCAUUCAUCCCAUUGGAGGUUAAGAGGAGGAAAAAAAUAAUUUCCAAGGUAUUAUCAAAUAUUAAAUUAAGAAAAAUUACAACUCCUCUUUCUUGCACUAUUGAGUAAUAUACAAGGACCGUAGAAGAGCAACGAGAGAUGAAGAAGGUGAAUGUUUACAAAUUGGUGAAUGCCGCAAAGAAUUCUAAAUUGAACACAUCGAUGAAAUCAAAAAAAGCCCAGAAGUCUACUUUAUGCAUAAAUUUGAUGCAAAAAACCUCUAGAACAUGAUUAGUAUGGAGCAUUGGUAUGUGGACUGGAUAAGUUACUAUAUCUAACCUUAUAUUUAUAUAAUUUUAUUGGUAUGUUUAUUUAGAUGAUCCAUCUGUUACAACAGAUUAUCCAUGUAUUGCCUAAGAUGGGUAAUCUAUUAACAGAUUUAGAGAUAUGUUACAAUAGAUGACUUAUUUGUUGCAAGAGACAACUCAUCUAUUGCAACAAAUUACUCAUCUAUUGCAUAAGUUGCAGUAGAUGGAUAAUCUGUUAAUAGGUUCAGAGAUAUGUUGCAACAGAUGAGUCAUCUGUUGCAACAGAUUUUUCAUAUGUUGCAACAUAUUACCCAUCUGGUGUAUCUUUUCAGUUGUUGUUAUAAGUUACUAACUUAUAUAAAUUGUAUUUGUAUUUCAGUUGUUAAUGAAAUUAUUUACAUUAUGCGGGAUAGAUAUCAUAAAUUCAAUCAAUACUAUGUAUAGACGACAAAUUCUUCGAUUCAAGAAAAAUAAUAAUCGAGACAGGAAAAUUGAAGUAACAAAAUAUAAUAUUUGAUUUCAAAUGUAACAAGUGUUACAAUCUCUAUGAUAAUCCUCAGAUUCUUCAAAGUAAUAUGAACUUGAACUUGAUUUGGAUUCAAGGGAUUGAGUAGCUUGAUCUUGAAUCUUUGGCUUCGAAACUGAAUUUGGAUAUUAGUUCGUCACAAAUACUUGGAUGAUUGCCACGAAUGAUGAAUAUGAAUAAGUAACGUGAUCUUGAACUAAAAUUUCUUCGUUCUUGAUCUUGAACUUGUUCUUGAGCUUGAUGUCUGAAACUUUCAACUUGCAGAGAAAUUAUGAUUUUUGAUCCACCAUCUCUCUUCUUUCUUUUCGUUUCUCAAAAAUUCCUCCCUGUGAAUUAUGAGGACCCCUAUCUAUAGUUGAAGGGGUAAGAUAAUUGUGCGAUUUGAUUGAUCGAUUUGAAAUUGACCAAUCACAUUCUUUUGGUAACGAGCACUAAUUUGAUUGGCUAGAAUAUGUCAUCUGCACACAUGGCAUGGUUUUAGUGACCCAUUUCAUUUAACUUGGAUUGCCACAUAAUAUUGACGCAUGUCAUAUUUUUAAUGGUUCAUUUCAUUUAACUUGGAUU